ACUAAUCAGGUGUGUUUGCAUUUAGAUUUUUCGUGUCUAUGGGGUUAUAUAUAAGGUAACGGUUAGGU
rnacentral:tRNA from 1 species